CCUAACCUCAAGUGAUCCACCUGCCUCGGCCUCCCAAAGUGCUAGGAUUACAGAUGUGAGCCACUGUGCCUGGCUCCCACCAACACACUAGUCUUAAACUUUCCAUUUGAGAAAAGAGCAGAUGAGAAAGCUGUUCAUGAAGCAAGGUGACUUCUGUUAUUAAAUCAACACCACAGGGCAGGCUCGCUCUCCCCUACUUACUAUUUUUACGAAGAAAGGUUUAAAAGCCACCCCACAGCAUCCUCUCAGAGGUAAAACUCUUGCUGCAGGGAUUGCGGAGCCUUCCAAGGCUGAGGUGUCACUGGGCCAGGAGCUGCAUGCGUAAACAGUUCUACUCCAGAUUUGACAAAUGCGCUACGGUAAUGGAAGAUAUCAACAAUAAAGGAUAUUGGGUGAAGAGUUUAAGAGUGCUCCAUUAUCUUUAUGAGUGCUCCAUUAUCUUUACAAUUGCUUUGUUAAGUUAAUCUUUAAAAUUGUUCUAUACAUUUAAUAUUUAAUUUAAAAUUAUCUUAAGAGAUGAAGUUUAUUAAAACAAAACUGCUUUUCCCCUUGAGUAAGAGCAUAAUGUGUCACCGUGUCUGGGACGAGUCUGCCCAGGUAGGGGCUUGCUACUGACGGAGCAAAGAAGACUCUGGGGCUCCUGACACAGGGUGUCCUGGGUUGAAUAUUUGUGCAUAUCCCUCCCCCAACUCAUAUGCUGAAUUUUAGACCCUUAGUAUGAUGGUGUCUGGAGGUGGGACCUGCGGGAGGUAAUUAGAUUUAGAGUUCAGGAGAGUGGGGCCCCGUGUUGGGAUUAGUUACCAUAAAGUGUUACCACA
rnacentral:lncRNA from 1 species